rnacentral:rRNA from 1 species
GACAGAGGAUGCAAGCGUUAUCCGGAAUGAUUGGGCGUAAAGCGUCUGUAGGUGGCUUUUUAAGUCCGCCGUCAAAUCCCAGGGCUCAACCCUGGACAGGCGGUGGAAACUACCAAGCUGGAGUACGGUAGGGGCAGAGGGAAUUUCCGGUGGAGCCGGUGAAAUGCGUAGAGAUACGGAAAGAACCACCAACGCGAAAGCACUCUGCUGGGCCGACACUGACACUGAGAGACGAAGCUAGGGGAGCGAAUGGG